AGUGGUAGAGAGGUACUAUAUGCUCAGUAUGUGUUUACCUGCCGGUGUGGUACUUUGCAGUUCUGAGGCCAGUUUGUUGUUACAUGAGAGAGGAAUUCUUCUUUUCCUUUAUCUGACGUGAACACACCGACUUGUGCAGUUCAGCAUCCUGUUCCAAAACGGAACCAGUAACAAGUAACUCAAAAUCGUUGUAGUCUGCUGUAGUGGAUCCAUUUCAAUGUCCUGAAUCCUGCUGAAAGAGGUCAAGAAAUGGGGAGCAUAAUGACAGGAAGGAAAGAAAUGCAGGAGGAAGUUGAACUAUCCUUCAUGGAGAAUGUUGAAACAUGGAACAUAAAAACUGCGCUGCAGUGCUGUGCCAUACUCAUUUGGAUGUGAUAUGUCGACUUGUUGUAGCUUGGAUAAAAUUCAAAUGAAUGCAUCUCUGGUCAGAGACAACCAGCUGCCAAAACAAGCCUAAAAAGGAAACAAACUGUUGGAUAAAAGCUUACGUGUCAGAGGAGUGAGAUGAGACUCAGGUCUGACUUUUACAAGAGAACAUGAUAGAAAUUUUGGGAGGACAGUUUAUGAUUUGUUUUGCAGUUUGACAAAGAACUGCUGCUUGUGGACUCUGAACUUAAAGGAACGAUCUGCAGCAGUUCCCCUCAAACCCGUCGUGUGUGGACGAGUCAUAAAAGCAUUUGCCUGGGAGAAUCUAACCUGUGGUAUAUUAUCCCAUGGGUCGUCUGGUCAAAGAGACUGAACACGAAACAGCAGCUUCUUAUACUAGAUGUUAUCCCAGAUGGGAAGUGACUCAUUGACCAGUCCUUAGAAGCAGUCACUUAUCUGUCUUGAGUUUUUGUUUGGAUCUUUUUGUCGAAAGGAUACAUUAUCAACAAACCGCUCAAAGUAAAUACAAAUGACUCAUACAUUCUGCCUGAUUGGUAAUCCAGGAAUGCCAAGCUGAAUAAUGAGCUUCCUCUGUUGACCGUCUGACAUAAUGGCGGCUCUUGUGGAUAAUUUUAGACAGCUGGAAUGUAAACUGAUCUCGAAUCAUGAUGUGAAGUACUUCCGUGUCUUUUUGA